rnacentral:pre_miRNA from 1 species
UUGUCCACAAGGGAAGCAGUGAAGCUGCCAGCAUGAUCUAGCUUUGGCUAGUUUGCAACGAAAGUAAAAUGAGAUAGUAGUAGUGAGCUAGCCCUAGCUAGGUCAUGCUAUGACAGCCUCAUUCCUUCCCAAUGUGGGGGA